rnacentral:rRNA from 1 species
AUUGAACGCUGGCGGAAUGCUUUACACAUGCAAGUCGAACGGCAGCACGGACUUCGGUCUGGUGGCGAGUGGCGAACGGGUGAGUAAUAUAUCGGAACGUAUCCAAUAAUGGGGGAUAACUAGUCGAAAGAUUGGCUAAUACCGCAUACGCCCUACGGGGGAAAGCAGGGGAUCUUCGGACCUUGCGUUACUGGAUCCGCCGAUAUCUGAUUAGCUAGUUGGUGGGGUAAAGUCCCACCAAGGCGACGAUCAGUAGCUGGUAUGAGAGGACGAUCAGCCACACUGGAACUGAGACACGGUCCAGACUCCUACGGGAGGCAGCAGUGGGGAAUUUUGGACAAUGGGCGCAAGCCUGAUCCAGCCAUUCCGCGUGAGUGAAGAAGGCCUUCGGGUUGUAAAGCUCUUUCGCAAGGGAAGAAAACUUAGCCACUAACAUUGGCUGAGGUUGACGGUGCCUUGAUAAGAAGCACCGGCUAACUACGUGCCAGCCGCCGCGGUAAGAC